GCGGCCUGAUUUGGGGCAGGCUGGGCGCUGUGGGAGCCCCGGCACUUCUCAAAGCCUGUUUCCGUGCAGCAGUGGCAGUUUGGUGUUCGGGCUCAGGGAUGGCUGGUUGAGCCCGGCCGUAGGAGCAGGAGGGCUGGAGCUGAAUUGGGAGGACUCUCGUUCCCAGGAGGUUUCCCCCGUCUCAGUCCAAUGGAUCUGACUGCUCUUCCCACGCACAGGUACUAGAGACUUAGUUUGUCUUCCAAAGAGCCAGGUCCCGUUCAAGAACAUGCUCACAUACCUCAUGGGCACGAAUGGCAGAACAGAUUAACAUGGGUAGAACAAUACCUUUACCAGCAGCCACUUAACACAAAAUGCACAACCCAGCCCUUGUCUUUCUCUCCAGGUGAUCAGGACUGAUGUUCAGUAGUGAAACACACACACAUCACUCCCUAGAUUUGCAAGCACAGCAUGUUCGUGGUUCCCUUAAAUAUUACCGUGGGUAUUAAGUUUGAUUAAAAUCCACGGCUGGAUGUCAAGCUACUUAUCAUAGAAUUGUCUAGGUUGGAAGGGACCUUUAAGAUCAUCGAGUCCAACGGCUAACCCAGCACUGCCAAGUCCACCACUAAACCAUGUCCCUCAGCACCACCUCUACGCAGCUUUUAAAUCCCUCCAGGGAUGGUGACUCCACCACUUCCCUGGGCAGCCUGUUCCAGUGCUUGAUAACACUUUCGGUGAAGAAAUUUUUCCCAGUAUCCAUCCUAAACCUUCCUGGCACAACUUGAGGCCGUUUCCUCUUGUCCCAUGGCCUGUUCCUUGGGAGAAGAGCCUGACCCCCCCUGGCUACCCCCUCCUUUCAGGGAGCUGCAGAGAGCGAGAAGGUCUCCCCUCAGCCUCCUUUUCUCCAGGCUGAAUACCCCCAGCCGCUCCUCACAAGACUCCUGCUCCAGACCCCUCACCAGCUCCGUUGCCCUUCUCUGGACACGCUCCGGCCCCUCGAUGUCCCUCCUGGAGUGAGGGGCCCAAAACUGGACAGAGCCCUCGGGGUGGGGCCUCACCAGAGCCCAGUACAGGGGGACAAUUGCUUCCCUAGUCCUUCUGGCCACACUGUUUCUAAUAGACGCCAGGAUGCUGUUGGCCUUCUUGUCCACCUGGGCACACUGCUGUAAUUGGCACAGACCUUGGAUCUUUCCAGAUCCGUAUGUCCUCUUGCUUGUGAGUGAGUCCAGCUUCAAGUUCACCAGUGAAUUGCACACACACACAGUGCUCCCACCAGAAGCUGGCCCCGGACACGCGGUGUUUCCAACGGCGGGGUCCCUGUGACGUCUGUUCCCUUCUGCCAUUGCUGGCAGCCAGGCCUCCGGACCCACCCGCACCAGGUACUGCCAGAGUCCUCUCCCCAAAAUGACCCCAACUCUUCCUUCAGUUAUCUGUGAAGUGUGCCCUCCUCUCUCAUCAUCCCCCAUAAGUACCCAUGAAAUCUGGCUCUUCCUUAUG